rnacentral:rRNA from 1 species
GACAGAGGAGCCAAGCGUUGUCCGGAUUGACUGGGCGUAAAGCGCACGCAGGCGGUCGCGCGCGUGGGGGUGUGAAAUCUGGCCGCUUAACGGCCAGGCGCCAUCCCAUACGGCGCGACUGGAGUGAUGCAGAGGUCGGUGGAAUUGCCGGUGUAGUGGUGAAAUGCGUAGAGAUCGGGCAGGAACACCCCAGGGGGGAAACCAGCCGACUGGGCAUCUACUGACGCUGAGGUGCGAGAGCGUGGGGGAGCGAACCG